rnacentral:rRNA from 1 species
AGUGAACGCUGGCGGUAGGCCUAACACAUGCAAGUCGAACGGCAGCACAGUAAGAGCUUGCUCUUACGGGUGGCGAGUGGCGGACGGGUGAGGAAUACAUCGGAAUCUACUUUUUCGUGGGGGAUAACGUAGGGAAACUUACGCUAAUACCGCAUAGGACCUACGGGUGAAAGCAGGGGAUCUUCGGACCUUGCGCGAUUGAAUGAGCCGAUGUCGGAUUAGCUAGUUGGCGGGGUAAAGGCCCACCAAGGCGACGAUCCGUAGCUGGUCUGAGAGGAUGAUCAGCCACACUGGAACUGAGACACGGUCCAGACUCCUACGGGAGGCAGCAGUGGGGAAUAUUGGACAAUGGGCGCAAGCCUGAUCCAGCCAUACCGCGUGGGUGAAGAAGGCCUUCGGGUUGUAAAGCCCUUUUGUUGGGAAAGAAAAGCAGCAGGUUAAUACCCCGCUGUUCUGACGGUACCCAAAGAAUAAGCACCGGCUAACUUCGUG